rnacentral:rRNA from 1 species
AAUGAACGCUGGCGGCGCGCCUAAUACAUGCAAGUCGAGCGAGAAGACGUAGCAAUACGUUUGUAAAGCGGCGAACGGGUGAGGAAUACAUGGGUAACCUACCCUCGAGUGGGGAAUAACUAGCCGAAAGGUUAGCUAAUACCGCGUACGCUCCUUGGACUUCGGUUCAGGGAGGAAAGCGAUACCGUGGGUAUCGCGCUCUUGGUUGGGCUCAUGUCCUAUCAGCUUGUUGGUGAGGAACGGCUCACCAAGGCUUCGACGGGUAGCUGGUCUGAGAGGACGAUCAGCCACACUGGCACUGCGACACGGGCCAGACUCCUACGGGAGGCAGCAGUAAGGAAUAUUGCGCAAUGGGCGAAAGCCUGACGCAGCGACGCCGCGUGGGGGAGU